rnacentral:lncRNA from 10 species
AUGGCGCUGAAGAUGAAGAAGGAAGCUCCUGCCCCCACCGAAGCUGAUGCCAAAACAAAGGCUUUGGCCACAAAAAAAAAAAGAUCCAUAUGGCACCCUCUUUCUGGUGGCCCAAGGCACUGUGGUUGUGGAAGCAGCCCAAAUAUCCUUGGAUGAGCACCCCCAGGAGAAACAAGCUUACUCACUCUGCCUCAUCAGUUCCACUGACCACUGAGUCUGCUAUGAAGAAGAUAGAAAACAACAAUACACUUGGGUUCAUUGUGGAUAUCAAGGCCAACAAACAAGCACCAGAUCAAACAGGCUAUGAAGGAGCUCUAUGACCCUGAUGUGGCCAAGGUCAACACCCUGAUCAGGCCUGGUGGAGAGAACACAUAUGUUCAAUUGCCUCCUGAUUUACGUUUCGGAUGUGGCCAACAAAACUGGGAUCAUCUAA